rnacentral:rRNA from 1 species
GGCCUCUUUUUUGAAGCUUCGGCUAUAAGCGAUUUAUUCGCAUAAUGUUCCAUGUAGAAUAUAGAUAAUGACUACUUUCUAUGUGAAAGUCUUGACUAAAACACGUGCCAGCAGUCGCGGCAACACGGGACAGACAAGUGUUAUUCAUAUUUAAUAGGUUUAAAGGGUACUUAGACGGCAAUUUUGGCCCCCACUGAGUAGGGAUGGUACCUUAUUGCUAGAGUUUUAUGUGAGAGGAAUUUAGUACUAACAGAGUAGAGAUGAAAUUUUUUGAUACUGUAGGGCACUGGUAACGGCGAAGGCAGGCCUUUAUGUAAAAACUGACGUUGAGGGACGAAGGCUUGGGUAACAAACAGGAUUAGGUACCCUAAUAGUCCAGGCAGAGAAUGAUGAGUGCCAUAGGUUAGAGUUAUUUGACCUAUAAAUGAAAGUGAAAGCAUUCCACCUUAAGAGUAAUGCGGCAACGCAGGAACUGAAAUCAUUAGACCGUUUCUGAUACCAGUAGUGAAGUAUGUUGUUUAAUUCGAUAACCCACGAAAAAUCUUACCACAAUUUGAAUGUUAUAGCAACUAAAAGAAAAGUCUUUUAAUAAUUUAUUAUUGAAA